rnacentral:rRNA from 1 species
GACGAACGCUGGCGGCGUGCUUAACACAUGCAAGUCGAACGGAAAGGCCCUGCUUUUGUGGGGUGCUCGAGUGGCGAACGGGUGAGUAACACGUGAGUAACCUGCCCUUGACUUUGGGAUAACUUCAGGAAACUGGGGCUAAUACCGGAUAGGAGCUCCUGCUGCAUGGUGGGGGUUGGAAAGUGUCGGCGGUUGGGGAUGGACUCGCGGCUUAUCAGCUUGUUGGUGGGGUAGUGGCUUACCAAGGCUUUGACGGAUAGCCGGCCUGAGAGGGUGACCGGCGACAUGGGGACUAAGAUACGGAGCAGACGCGUACGUGAGGCAGCAGUGGAGAGUAUGACACAGUGGGCGGAAGCCUGAGGCAGCAGCGCCGCGUGCGUGAUGACGGCCUUCGAGUGGUAAACCGCUGUCGACUGUAACGAAGCGUGAGUGACGGUAAUGAGUAAAGAAGCACCGGCUAACUACGUG